AUUGAACGCUGGCGGCAGGCUUAACACAUGCAAGUCGAGCGGGGUGAUGGUGCUUGCACUAUCACUUAGCGGCGGACGGGUGAGUAAUGCUUAGGAAUCUGCCUAUUAGUGGGGGACAACAUCUCGAAAGGGAUGCUAAUACCGCAUACGUCCUACGGGAGAAAGCAGGGGAUCACUUGUGACCUUGCGCUAAUAGAUGAGCCUAAGUCGGAUUAGCUAGUUGGUGGGGUAACGGCUCACCUAGGCGACGAUCCCUAGCUGGUCUGAGAGGAUGACCAGCCACACUGGAACUGAGACACGGUCCAGACUCCUACGGGAGGCAGCAGUGGGGAAUAUUGCACAAUGGGCGCAAGCCUGAUGCAGCCAUGCCGCGUGUAUGAAGAAGGCCUUCGGGUUGUAAAGUACUUUCAGCGGGAAGGAAGGCGAUAAGGUUAAUAACCUUGUCGAUUGACGUUACCCGCAGAAGAAGCACCGGCUAACUCCGUGCCAGCAGCCGCCAGUAA
rnacentral:rRNA from 1 species